AAUUCUCAAACCCUUUCUAACCCCAAUUCGGGAUUUUGACCCCUCCUUCUCUGGCGAGUAUGAACGCUCAGAGAAUUCACUCAAUUCGCAUCUAAUACACGUCUAUUUCUUCAAAUUCUCUAGAAAUUAGGUGGGUUUUCUCUUUGUAGUGAGUAGAUGAUUUUUUUUAGGGAAAGUUAUUUGCCUCAGAUUUCAAUUCAAUUGCAGCAAUUGCAGAAAUAGUCCUCUCUGCGUUUCUUUACCAAUCGCCGAAAGAAUAUGAUUCUUGCCCAAUGCAGAUAUUAAUUAUGGGUAAUUGAGAUGGAAUUGAUGACGACGUGUCCAGCACAAGUGCUUCUGUUCUUCUUUCAGUUCUCAAGCUUAUUGACGACCAUGAUUUGUACGGGCAAGUUGCAUACCCCAAACACCACAAGCAGUCUGAUGUUCCUGAGAUAUAUCGUCUUGCAACAAAGACAAAGUUAUGGGGCAGGCUUUUUCAAAGAUGACCAACUUUUGAGACACCAGCUUAUGACAAGAUGACCAACCUUGAUAAUAAAUACAAUUUAUGAUAUGUUGAGCAAUGAGGAGGGGUAUGUUGGAUGCCUGCUCAAGAGGAUGGUGAAGCCAGGCCGAAGGAACAUGACUCUAGCUUGGUGAUCAAGCUGUGACAGCCCUUACCAUUGCUGUUAUCACUAUCAUUUUUCCUUUUUGUUGUAUAAAUAACAAGUCAUGUUUCUUUAUUGUGCAAUGAUAGUCUCUUGUUGGCCUCAGAAUGGCCAUUGAUGCUCAUUAUCAAAUGUUACUAUCUAUUUGAGAUUGUAAAGUAAUGUUCUGAACUAGUGUAUGUAUUAUAAAAACUUAUGAGAAUGCAUAAUCAAAUUUUAUUGACAGAUUAUAAA